rnacentral:rRNA from 1 species
AAGCUAGCGGCGGACGGGUGAGUAACACGUGGGCAACCUGCCUCAUAGAGGGGAAUAGCCUUCCGAAAGGGAGAUUAAUACCGCAUAAGAUUGUAGCUUCGCAUGAAGUAGCAAUUAAAGGAGCAAUCCGCUAUGAGAUGGGCCCGCGGCGCAUUAGCUAGUUGGUGAGGUAACGGCUCACCAAGGCGACGAUGCGUAGCCGACCUGAGAGGGUGAUCGGCCACAUUGGGACUGAGACACGGCCCAG